UUCUCUCUUUCUUCUCUCUCUCCUCUCUCUCUUUAUUCUUCCUCUUUCUGCGGGUUGUCUUUCAGUUAAUCUCUAUCUCAUGGUUUCAGUUGGAUCAGAUUAGAUCUAUACCAAUUCAUGGAGACUGCCGUGGUAAACAAGGAAGAGAUCGGGGGCUAGGAGAGGAUCUUAAUAGAGAAGGUUUGAAGAAGAUGCCUCUUCAUGUUGCCAAGGGGAAGGGACAAAGGCAAGAUGGAGCAUUUUUUGGCUCUUGUUUUCACUGGAAGAUGGAAUAGUUUGAAUGUUUUGUAAUUUUAUUUGUAAUUAUAUUUGAUAUAUGUGUUUUUGUUUUGUUAUUAGGUUGUAAUUUUAAAUUUAAUGUUUGCUAGAUUUUGUUUGGGAUGAUUGGAUGGGAAUUGGGCUAAUUGUGAAUUUGUAAGCCCAAAAGUUUUUAAAAAUUCAGUUGGGCUUAAAUUUCUGAAAAUUCAAGAAAAAAAAAAAAUUGGGCUCAAGAUCCGGUCUAAACUAGAAAACCGGAAAUCGAACCGGAUAUAAACCGGUCCGGGUUGGUCCGAUUUUCUAAGGCAUUUUAAUGAAAAAUCGGACCGAACCGAACCAGAUGAACAGUGCCGAUUUCGAUUUCGGGUUUAAGGGAGAGCCGGACCGAACCGGACCGUGCCCACUCCUAACACCAAUCAAACAAAUCAAGCCCAACGACUACUCAAAUGCACCCUUUUAUCAUGUAGUUCAUA